rnacentral:rRNA from 1 species
UACGUAGGGUGCGAGCGUUAAUCGGAAUUACUGGGCGUAAAGCGUGCGCAGGCGGUUUUGUAAGUCUGGCGUGAAAUCCCCGGGCUCAACCUGGGAAUUGCGAUGGAGACUGCAAGGCUAGAAUCUGGCAGAGGGGGGUAGAAUUCCACGUGUAGCAGUGAAAUGCGUAGAGAUGUGGAGGAACACCGAUGGCGAAGGCAGCCCCCUGGGUCAAGAUUGACGCUCAUGCACGAAAGCGUGGGGAGCAAACAGG